AAAAAGGUCAGGAAACAGAUUAUCUGUCUAGGAUACAUAAAGUAAUAUCAGCUAGUCAAGUACAUGUAAGCUGGUACACUGACCUGUCUUAACCAUGAUUUGUUCAUUCGUGAAUCCCUAAAGCCUACCAUCAAGGGCUGCCCUUAGUGGACAUCAGUAAAUGAUAGUUCACUGGAUUAAUAGUCUUUCUCAGUUUAGCAAAGAUGUGAAUAAAUUCUGAAACUAAAAGCAUACUGGAAUUUAUUACUGAGUUCUGAAGCACAUUUUUAGGUAUGACAUUUUGCACUCUGCCUAUAGAUAUGAACUAUGAAUAUGUAAGUCUGCUGAUCUUGCCGGUAGAACAAGUCACGCUAAGCUGGUCAGCCACAGUAGCCUUAAUUUGCCUUGGUGGACUCCAGGGAGACCCUACUUAUAUUUCACCCAUCAGUUAGAUUUCAACCCACCCUCUUGCUUCCCUAUUGAAACAAUAGACGAGGCCCUUUUUGUUUGUGUUUUUGUUUUUUGGCUGCACUGGGUCUUCUUUGCACCUCACGGGCUCCUGUCUAGUUGCAGCACAUGGGUUGCCCCACAGCAUGUGGGAUCUUAGUUCCCUAGCCAGGGAUCAAACCCGCAUUCCCUGCAUUGGAAGGCGGAUUCUUAACCACUGGACCACCAGGGACGUCCCAAAAAGAUGCUCAGGCACUUUUCUUGUGCUUUUAGUUUGGGACAAAUGGAUUUCUUUCUUGAUUUUCUGAGUUCAUUAGCAUGGAAAGAUAGGAACCAGGCUGAUGUUAUAAAUAGUGAACCAUCAAGGCAUGUUUCUUGUAAGCAGUAUUUAGUUUAUCUUCUUACUGUCCUUGUUAUUAAGAGUUGACAGAGGUGGAAACUAGAAAAAGGUACACAAAUCCUAUCACUGGACCCAUUUUCUCUACUUUUAUUCAACAAAUAUUUAUUGAGUGCCUCUAAUGUAAGGACACAUUACAAAAUGGACCAAGCCCUUACUUCUUGGAGUUUUUGUUUGUUUUUUGUUUUAUUUCAUUGUAGAAAAAUACACAUAACAUAAAAUUCACAAUGUUAGCCAUUUUUAAGUGUACAGCCCAGUGGCAUUAAGUACAUUCACAUUGUUGUGCAAUGUCAUGGAGUUUUUUAUUAAUUAAUUUUUUUAGUGAAAUAUAGUUGAUUUACAAUGUUCUGUGAAUUUCUGCUGUACAGCAGAGUGAUUCAGUUAUACAUAUAUAUACAUUCUUUUUUAUAUUCUUUUCCAUUAUGGUUUAUUCCAGAAUAUUGAAUAUAGUUCCCUGUACUAUAUAGUAGGGCCUUGUUGCUUAUCCAUUCUGUAUGUAAUAGUUUGCAUCUGCUAUGAACAUAGGGAUGCAUGUGUCUUUUUGAAUUAUACUUUUGUCCAGAUAUAUGCCCAGGAGUGGGAUUGCUGGAUCACAUGGUAAUUCUAUUUUUAGUUUUCUGAGGAACCUCCAUACAGUUUUCCAUAGUGGCUGCACCAACUUACAUUCCUACCAACAGUGUAGGAGGGUUCCCUUUUCUCCACACCCUCUCCAGAAUUUGUUAUUUGUAGACUGUUUAAUGAUGGCCAUUCUGACUGGUGUGAGGUGGUACAUCAUUGUAGUUUUGAUUUGCAUUUUUCUAAUAAUUAGAGAUGUUGAGCAUCUUUUCAUGUGCUAUUGUCCAUCUGUAUGUCUUCUUUGGAGAAAUGCCUCUUUAGGUCUUCAACUGGGUUGUCUGCUUUUUUGUUGUUGGGUUUUAUGAGCUGUUUGUAUAUUUUGGAAAUUAAGCCGUUGUCGGUCGCAUCUUUUGCAAAUAUUUUCUCCCGUUCUCUAUAUUGUUUUUUUCAUUUUUUUAUGGUUUCCUUUGCAGUGAAAAAGCUUGUAAAUUUGAUUUGGUCCCAUUUUUUUAUUUUUGUUUUUAUUUCUAUUGCCUUGGGAGACUAACCUAAGAAAACAUUGGUAUGAUUUAUGUCAGAAAUGUUUUGCCUAUGAUCUCUUCUAGGAGUUUUAUGGUGUCAUGUCUUAUAUAUAUCUAAGUCUUUAAGCCAUUUUGAGUUUACUUUUGUGCAUGGCGUGAGGGUGUGUUUUAACUUCAUUGAUUUACAUGCAGCUGUCCAACUUUCCCAGCAACACUUGCUGAAAAGACUUUCUCCCAUUUUAUAUUCUUGCCUCCUUUGUUGAAGAUUAAUUGACUGUAAGGGUGUGGAUUUAUUUCUGGGCUCUCUAUUUUGUUCCGUUGAUCCCUAUGUCUGUUUUUGUGCCAAUACCAUGCUGUUUUGAUUACUGUACCCUUGUAGUAUUGUCUGGGAGGGUUGUGCCUCCUGCUUUGUUCUUUUUUCUCAGGAUUGCUUUGGCAAUUCUGGGUCUUUUAUGUUCUGUAUAAAUUUUAAGAUUAUUUAUUCUAGUUCUGUGAAAAAUGUCAUGGGUAAUUUGAUAGGGAUCGCAUUAAAUCUGUAGAUUGCUUUGGGUAGUAGAGCAUGGGAUAUCUUUCCAUUUCUUUGAAUCAUCUUUAAUUUCCUUUAUUAAUGUUUUAUAGUUCUCAGCAUAUAGGUCUUUCAGCUCCUUGGUCAGGUUUAUUCCUAAGUUUUGGGGGUUUUUUUUGGUGUGAUUUUAAAAAGUAAUUUUUUUACAUUCCCUUUCUGCUAUUUCAUUGUUAGUGUAAAGAAAUGCAAGUGAUUUCUGUAUGUUAAUCUUGUAUCCUGCUACCUUGCUGAAUUUAUUUAUCAGUUCCAAUAGUUUUUGUGUGGCGUCAUCAGGGUUUUCUAUAUAUAGUAUCAUGUCAUCUGUAUAUAGUGACAAUUUUACCUCUUCCCUUCCAAUUUGGAUACCUUUUAUUUCUUUUUCUUGUCUGAUUGCUGUGGCUAGAACUUUUAGUACUAUUUUGAAUAGAAGUGGUGAGAGUGGGCAUCCUUGUCUUUUUCAAGAAUUUAGCAGGGCUUUCAGCUUUUCACCAUUAAGUAUUAUAUUGGCUGUGGGUUUGUCAAAAGUGGCUUUUAUUAUAUUGAGAUAUGUUCCCUCUAUACCCAUUUUGGUAGAGUUUUUAUCAUGAAUGAAUGUUGAAUUUUGUCAAAUGCUUUUUCUGUGUCUAUUGAGAUUAUCAUGUGGUUUUUAUAUUUUCUUUUGUUGAUGUGGUGUAUCACAUUGAUAGAUUUCCGUGUGUUGAACCUUCCUUGUGAACCUAGGAUGUAUCCCACUUGGUCACAGUAUAUGAUCUUUUUUAUGUGUUGUUGGAUUCAGUUUGCUAGUAUUUUGUUGAGAACUUUUGCAUCUACGUUCGUCAAAGAUAUUGGCCUGUACUUUUCUUUUUUAGUGGUAUCUUUGUCUGGUUUUAGUAUCAGCGUGAUGCUGGCUUCGUAGAAUGUCUUUGGGAGUGUUGCCUCAACAGUCUUUUGGAAGAGUUUGAGAAGGAUCAGUAAAAUUUCUUCUAUGUAUGUUUGGUAGAAUUUGCCUGUGAAGCCAUCUGGUCCUGGACUUUUGUUUGUAGGGAGUUCUUUUUUUUAUUACAGGUUCUAUUUCACUUCUAGUGGUUGCUCUGUUCAAAUAAUCUAUUCUUUUUGAUUCAUUUGUGGUGGGCUGUAUGCUUCUAGAAAGUUGUCUGUUUCUUCUAGUUUGUCAAAUUUGUUGUCAUAUAAUUGUUCAUAGUAUUCUCUUAUGUUUUUUUGCAUGUCUGUGGUAUCAGUUGAUAUUUAUCCUUUUUCAUUUCUUAUUUUAUUUGGGUUCUGUCUUUUCUUCUAGGUCCUGGUUUUAUUGAUUUUUUUCUAUUUUUUUAAUCUCAAUUUUAUUUAUUUCCUCUCUGAGCUUUAUUAUUUCCUUCCUUCUGCUGACUUUAGGUUUUGUUUGUUCUUCUUUUUUUUGAUUCUUUUAGGUGAUAGGUUAGGUUAUUUUUUGAGAUAUUUUUCUUGUUUCUUGAGGAAGGCCUGUAUCGCUAUGAACUUCCCUCUUAAGAACUGCUUUUGCUGCAUCCCAUAGAUUCUGUGUGGUUGUGUUUUCAUUGUCACUUCCCUUAAAGUAUUUUUUAAUUUCCUUUUUGAUUUCCACAUUGACCCAUUGGUUUCUUAGUAGCAUUUUGUUUAGUUUCCAUGUAAUCGUUUUUUUUUUCAUAUAUCUUUUCUUAUGCUUGAAAUAAUUUCUAUACUGUUAAUUUGUUGACGUUUGUUUUGUCCUCUAGUAUGUGGUCAAUCCUAGAGAAUGUUCCAUGUGAACUUGAAAACAAUGUGUAUUCUGGGUUUUUUGGAUGUAAUGUCCUGAAAAUAUCAAUUAAGUCUAACCGUUCUAUUGUAUCCUUUGGAUCUUUGUUGCCUUAUUGAUUUUGUCUAGAAGAUCUGUCCAUUGAUGUGAGUAGGGUGUUAAAAUCUCCUACUAUUAUUGUAUUUCCAUCUGUUUCUCCCUUUAUGUCUGUUAGUAUUUGUUUCAUGUAUUUGGGUGCUCCUAUUUUAGGUACAUAUAUGUUGACGAGUGUAAAAAUCCUCUUCUUGUAUUUGUCAUGGAUUUUUAUUGUUGUGGGUUUCCUAAUGCUCCAUGUAGUUCAUAUUCUCAGUUGCUUCUGGGCUUGCUUUUUAUUAUUUCUGCUGUACAUAGUCAGAAUAUACUUUUAUUCUAGUUACAGUAAUUCUACAGAAAAAUUUUCAAUUGGAAAAAAAUGACUAGAUAGAUUACCCUAAAUGUACUUGUGAUUAUUAUUGGGCAGUUGUGGGAAUGGUUUUUUGUUUUUAAAUACUUUACUCAGUUGUUCGGUGUCUUUUCCUAUUGGACUUUUUUUCUCAUUUUUAAAAAUUCAAUUUAUUUAAACAGACUAAAAAUAAAGCACAGUUCACCCUUUACUCUCAUGCCCCCAUCCUCAGUCUCUGGCAGCCACUGAUUUGUUCUCUGUAUCUAUGGGCUUGUUUUGUUUAUUUUUUGAAUUCCACAUAUAAGCGAUAUUAUACAGUAUUUGUCUUUCUCUGUCUGCCUUAUUUCACUUAACAUAAUACUCUCACAGUCCAUCCAUAUUUGUCACAAAUGGCAAGAUUUUCCUUCUUUUAUAUGGCUGAAUAAUAAUCCAUUGUGUGUAUAUACCACAAUUUCUUUAUCCAUUCACCUAUCGAUAGACACUUAGAUUGUUUCAUAUCUUGGCUAUUGUAAGUAAUGUGAAAUGAACAUGGGGGUUUGCAUAUCUAUUUGAGUUAUUGUUUCUGUUUACGUCAGAUAAAUACCGAGAAGUGGUAACUGAAUCAUACGAUAGUUCUAUUUUUAAUUUUUUGAGGAAUCUUCAUACUGUUUUCCAUAGUGGUUGCAUCAAUUUAUGUUGCCACCAACAGUGCAUAAGGGUUCCCUUUUGUCCAUAUCCUUCACAACAGUAGUUAUUUCUCAUCUUUUUGAUAAUAGCCGUUCUAACAGGUAUGAUGCAAUAUCUCAUUAUGGUUUUGACUUGCAUUUCCCUGAUGAUUAAUGAAGUAGAGUAUCUUUCCAUGUACCUGUAGGCCAUCUUUAUAUCUUACUUGAGAAAAUGUUUAUUUAGAUCUUCUGCCAAUUUUUAAUUUGAUUGUUUUUUGAUGUUGAGUUGUAUGAGCUCUUUAUAUAUUUUGGACAUUAACCCCUUAUUGGAUAUAUCAUUUGCAAAUAUUUCCUCCUGUUCAAUAGGUUGCCUUUUCAUUUUGCUGAUGGUUUCCUUUGCUAUGCAGAAGCUUUUUAGUUUGAUGCAGUCCCAUUUCUUUAUUUUUGCUUUUGUUGCUUUUUGUGUCAGAUUCAAAAAAAGUCAUUACCUGGCUUCCCUGGUGGUGCAGUGGUUGAGAGUCCGCCUGCCGAUGGAGGGGACACGGGUUCGUGCCCCGGUCUGGGAGGAUCCCACAUGCCGUGGAGCGGCUAGGCCCGUGAGCCAUGGCUGCUGAGCCUGCACGUCUGGAGCCUGUGCUCCACAAUGGGAGAGGCCACAACAGUGAGAGGCCCGCGUACUGCAAAAAAAAAAAAAAAAAAAGU